GAAAAGAAAAGUCAUUCCUAUAGAAGAAGCAUGUACUUUCUAUGUUUUUUGCCCAAAAAACAGUCAUUCCUAUUAAAUAGGUAUAGAUACAUUUUGAAAUAAGAACGGCGAUUGGGAACGCUAUUUUUAUCUUUUGCCCUAAAAAUUUGAUCCUCCAAAUUCGGCACCUUAAUCCCACGACGUCUCACGACGAUAUCAACUACUUACCCACGAACUCUUCUGCCCAAGAUUCCAGCAACAUGAUUUCACAUUUUUAUCAACAGUUCUAUUUUUACAGUAUAUAGUUUUGUUCUUUCUCCAUCGCGUGCAUAUCAAACAACAAUUCUAGACUACAAGAGGAUAUAAUGGCAGCUGAAAUCAAUUUCGUUAGUGAAAUUAAUAGCAAGUCAAUGAAUUGGAAGUUAAAGGUUCGUAUUGUUAGGCUUUGGAAAAAUUCAGAUUGCGAUAGGCCUGACAACCCCUUUUCAAUUGAAAUUGUUCUGACGGAUGAAAAGGGCGACCACAUUCACGCAAGUAUUGGCAGGUCUUUUAUACAAAGGUUCAAACAAGAAAUUAAGGAAAUGAGUUUGUACAUCAUGAAAAAUUUUGUGGUUUGUCCAAAUAAUAUGAAGCUGAAGACCAAAGACCACAAGUUUAAGUUGAUGUUCACGCAUAAGACCACCGUUGACGAAUUACAUGAUCCACAUGUUAACAUGUGUAUUUUCAAAUUUAAAACCUACGAGGAAUUGUCAAAUCCCCAAGAAUUUGACAAUACUGAGCUAUUUUUAUCUUUUGCCCUAAAAAUUUCAUCCUCCAAAUUCGGUACCACAAUCCCACGACGUCUCACCACGAUAUCAACUCCUUACCCACGAACUCUUCUGCCCAAGAUUCCAGCAACGUGAUUUCACAUUUUUAUCAAAUCAGUUCUACUUUUACAUAGUUUUGUUCUUUCUCUAUCGCGUGCAUAUCAAACAACAAUUCUAGACUAAAAGAGGAUAUAAUGGCGGCUGAAAUCAAUUUCGUUAGUGAAAUUAACAGCAAGUCAAUGAAUUGGAAGUUAAAGGUUCGUAUUGUUAGGCCUUGGAAAAAUCCGGAUCGCGAUAGGCCUGACAACCCCUUUUCAAUUGAAAUUGUUCUGAUGGAUGAAAAGGGCGACCACAUUCACGCAAGUAUUGACAGGUCUUUUAUCCAAAGGUUCAAACAAGAAAUUAAGGAAAUGGGUUUGUACAUCAUGAAGAAUUUUGUGGUACGUCCAAAUAAUAUGAAGCUGAAGACCAAAGACCACAAGUUUAAGUUGAUGUUCACACAUAAGACCACCGUUGACUAAUUACAUGAUCCACAUUUUAACAUGUGUAUUUUCAAAUUCAAAACUUAUGAGGAGCUGUCAAAUCCCCAAGAAUUUGACAAUACUGAGUUAUUUGGUAAUUCAGUUUCUCUCAUUUUUUUCCAGUUUCAUUUUACUUUGCCUUAUUUGUUUUCUAUCUUUUUAGUGUCAGUUCAAACAUAUCACAGAAAUACAUACACACCAACGUGGUCGAUGUAGUGAAUUCUUUGCUGAAUUCUAUUUUGUUGACAAAUUUCUUUUUCUAUCAUCUUCUAGCAUGUGUUAUUUUUUUAAUUGCUCUCACUUUUAACAUCUUGUGUUUCUCUGUCAUUAUAAAUCUUCUAACAAUCAUCAUUCAUCAUUGGUGCCUUCAAUUAUGUGGUGCAUUCUGAGCUAUUUGGUAAUUCAGUUUCUCCCAUGACCAUCAAUAAAAGUCAAGGUCAGUCAUUAUCUAAUGUGGGAUUAUUUUUUAAGAAGUCUAUUUUUAUCAUGGACAAUUAUAUGUUGCACUUUCAAGAGUAACAAGUAGAAAAGGGUUGAAGAUUAUAUGUUAUGAUGAAGAUGGGAAAUUAUCAAAUGAAGCUACAAAUGUAGUGUAUAAAGAAGUUUUUAGAAAUUUGGAGAAUAGAAGUUUUUAAUAAGUAUAAAAUGAGCAGCACCAACAACAAGUUCAAUGUACAUACUCAGUAUAUAGUUGGUCAUACUACAGACAAACAAAAAAUUGGAUGAGGUAAAUAUUCUUCUAAAUUUAAUUUACUUUGACAUAUCCUGUUAUAACUUUUUUUUUAAUCAUAGGGAAAUACUUUUAUUUGUUAAAUUAUUUAUACAUAUUUGCAGUCAAUCACUUCAGUUAAAUUGUGGAGUUGCACAAAUAUGGAUUGCCAACCAUCAUUUCACAUUCAUUAAUUCAUACUAGGUAUGCAAUAUUACUUACAAUGAAUUUUAUUAGAAAAUUGUCACGACCUAAAUCCCUGAACCCGGUCGUGAUGGCGCCUCUCGUGAAGACAAGGCCAGCCAAACCAAAACAGAACACCUCUUUUAAACUGUUAAAUAUCAUAAAUAGUUCUAAGACAAGAUAUAGUAACCAUAAUUUGCGAAAAUACAAUAACAACAGUAGAAACCAUCCCGACACAGCCCAAAUCGGGGUGUCACAAGUCACGAGCAUCUAUUAGGGUGUAAAUAUAACUACAAGGUCAAAUUAUACAAAACAGGAAUAAUGAACAAAAGGGAGAAAAGCGGUGUUGCGAACGUCGGCAGCCACCUCGCUAAACUCCGAUAACUCUGCCUCUGAUCAGCUAAAAACCCGCUAUCGGGUGUAUAAAUACCUGCAUUUGCAC